GGGAAUUUAGCUCAGUGGUAGAGCGUUUGCCUAGCAAGCGCAAGGCCCUGGGUUCAGUCCCCAGCUCCUG
rnacentral:tRNA from 1 species